rnacentral:rRNA from 1 species
UACGUAGGGUGCGAGCGUUGUCCGGAAUUAUUGGGCGUAAAGGGCUCGUAGGCGGUUUGUCGCGUCGGGAGUGAAAACCCAGGGCUUAACUCUGGGCUUGCUUUCGAUACGGGCAGACUGGAGGUAUGCAGGGGAGAACGGAAUUCCUGGUGUAGCGGGUGAAAUGCGCAGAUAUCAGGAGGACAGCCGGUGGCGAAGGCGGUUCUCUGGGCAUGUCCUGCGUGAGGAGCGAAAGUGUGGGGAGCGAACAGG